rnacentral:rRNA from 1 species
GAUGAACGCUAGCGGCAGGCUUAAUACAUGCAAGUCGUGGGGCAGCGCAGGUAGCAAUACUGGGCGGCGACCGGCAAACGGGUGCGGAACACGUACACAACCUUCCGAGAAGUGGGGAAUAGCCCAGAGAAAUUUGGAUUAAUACCCCGUAACAUAACGAUGUGGCAUCACAUUGUUAUUAUAGCUUCGGCGCUUCUUGAUGGGUGUGCGGCUGAUUAGAUAGUUGGCGGGGUAACGGCCCACCAAGUCUACGAUCAGUAGCUGAUGUGAGAGCAUGAUCAGCCACACGGGCACUGAGACACGGGCCCGACUCCUACGGGAGGCAGCAGUAAGGAAUAUUGGUCAAUGGACGCAAGUCUGAACCAGCCAUGCCGCGUGAAGGA